UCAUCGGAUUUAUUCAGAUCCACCAAACAAGUUUAUUAAUUUUUUU
rfam:Meloidogyne hapla strain VW9 Mh10g200708_Contig2367, whole genome shotgun sequence.